UACGGGGGGAGCAAGCGUUGUUCGGAUUUAUUGGGCGUAAAGGGUAGGUAGGUGGUCUCAUUUGUCUGGGGUGAAAGCCUUGAGCUUAACUCAAGAAGUGCCCCAGAAACGGUGAGACUGGAGUCCUGGAGAGGGUCGUGGAAUUCCCGGUGUAGCGGUGAAAUGCGUAGAGAUCGGGAGGAACACCAGAGGCGAAGGCGGCGACCUGGACAGGUACUGACACUCAACUACGAAAGCGUGGGGAGCAAACAGG
rnacentral:rRNA from 1 species